GACGAACGCUGGCGGCGUGCCUAAUACAUGCAAGUUGAGCGCUGAAGGUUGGUACUUGUACCAACUGGAUGAGCAGCGAACGGGUGAGUAACGCGUGGGGAAUCUGCCUUUGAGCGGGGGACAACAUUUGGAAACGAAUGCUAAUACCGCAUAAAAACUUUAAACACAAGUUUUAAGUUUUAAAGAUGCAAUUGCAUCACUCAAAGAUGAUCCCGCGUUGUAUUAGCUAGUUGGUGAGGUAAAGGCUCACCAAGGCGAUGAUACAUAGCCGACCUGAGAGGGUGAGCGGCCACAUUGGGACUGAGACACGGCCCAAACUACUGCGGGAGGCAGCAGUAGGGAAUCUUCGGCAAUGGAAGAAAGUCUGACCGAGCAACGCCGCGUGAGUGAAGAAGGUUGUCGGAUCGUAAAACUCUGUUGGUAGAGAAGAACGUUGGUGAGAGUGGAAAGCUCAUCAAGUGACGGUAACUACCCAGAAAGGGACGGCUAACUACGUG
rnacentral:rRNA from 1 species